ACAAUACUACGUCCCUGGACGGUGCAAAGUAAACGAUGACCCGCAGGGAACUCUGGGGUAAAAUACGUAUCAAAUUGCAAAACCUUUUCUGGCCUGGAACAUUUCCGGGUCAGUCUUCUUU
rfam:Pantoea stewartii subsp. stewartii DC283 WGS_Sequence37, whole genome shotgun sequence.